UUAUUAGACAACUAAAAGUUAUUGAAUUAUAAUACAUAAGCUAUGUUUUUCAUAGCUAUGACAAUAAACAACAGAUGCAAUAAGUUUAGCGGACUCGGGGGCGGUACCCGACAUCUCCACCAAAAUGUACUUUCAUUUGUAGAAAAUAGAAUGGUUUAUGGGGAUGAAAUAGGAUCGACGUACUCCUAAAAGUCUGUUUUUUGUCCGUUAGUUUUCGUAAAAAGCGUUGAUUUAAAUGCAAAUCAAAACAGUAGCAUGAGUCCUGCUAACUUCAAUAGGACUUCUUUUGCACCUGCAGUUGCAGUUGCUUAAGUAGAGGUUUAGAGGGAUGCCUAGCAACAGAAAUCCCUUAGA
rnacentral:tmRNA from 1 species